rnacentral:misc_RNA from 1 species
AAGACUAUAGACCUGCGGAGUACCUGCGGAGGAUCAUUACCGAGUGCGGGCCCUCUGGGUCCAACCUCCCACCCGUGUUUAUUGUACCUUGUUGCUUCGGCGGGCCCGCCAUUCUGGCCGCCGGGGGGCUUGCCCCCGGGCCCGCGCCCGCCGAAGACACCCUCGAACUCUGUCUGAAGAUUGUAGUCUGAGUGGAAUUAUAAAUUAUUAAAACUUUCAACAAUGGAUCUCUAGAUCGGA